CCUACGGGAGGCAGCAGUGAGGAAUAUUGGUCAAUGGACGAGAGUCUGAACCAGCCAAGUAGCGUGAAGGAUGACUGCCCUAUGGGUUGUAAACUUCUUUUAUAAAGGACUAAAACGAGGCACGUGUGCCUUUUUUCAUGUACUUUAUGAAUAAGGAUCGGCUAACUCCGUGCCAGCAGCCGCGGUAAUACGGAGGAUCCGAGCGUUAUCCGGAUUUAUUGGGUUUAAAGGGAGCGUAGAUGGGUUGUUAAGUCAGUUGUGAAAGUUUGCGGCGCAACCGUAAAAUUGAAAUUGAUACUGGCAGUCUUGAGUACAGUUGAGGUAGGCGGAAUUCGUGGUGUAGCGGUGAAAUGCUUAGAUAUCACGAAGAACCCCGAUUGCGAAGGCAGCUUACUAAACUGUGACUGACAUUGAUGCUCGAAAGUGUGGGUAUCAAACAGGAUUAGAUACCCCGGUAGUC
rnacentral:rRNA from 1 species